ACCUGUUCCCAUGUCGAACACAGAAGUCAAGCUUCUUAGCGCCGAGAGUAGUUGGGGGAUCGCUCCCUGCGAGGGUAGGACGUUGCCAU
rnacentral:rRNA from 1 species